AUAGCCAUUAUAAAACCUUUUUACAACUGAUUAAUCACUGUCACCUUAUAGGGUCCAGAAUUUUCCUGGUUAGGUUAACAGAUAAGGAAAAACACUGGGCCCCGGGGAGUAAAAAUUGCCUGCCCACUCUGAGACCUAUGGUGCCACCAGUCUGCUUGUUGUCAGCUAAGUCCCCUUUGGUUCCCUGAUGAAAAGGUGAUGACCACUACUAUUGUCAACUCUCUUCUGACAUGAACUGAAGCCCUAUCUCAUGUUCCCUCUCAUCCACUGGCACAUUAAAUGUUUCCUCUCCAAGCACUUCAAAUCAAGUCCUGUACUGAAGUCAUGCCUCUGAACCUCAGAUUUUUGAAACUCACUUUGACAUCUUUGUGCGUUUUGGGCCUAUACCGUCCUCCACCUCCCUCUCACUGGUCUCCAUGGUCCUCAGCUCCACCACCAUAUCUCUCAGCUCAUCACAGAUAUCAGCAGUGGUCUGGCCGCUCGUCUGUUCAUGGAUCGUCUCUGUAGCUUCAGUCCAUUGGAUAUCGAUCAAACUCUCUCUACACCCUCCACUCUCUACCUGAGCCCAUGUUCUGGACAUACAGAACAGCAACACCAGCAGAAAUACAGCACCCCUCAUUCUGAAAUGGCACCUCUUCAGAAAUGAUGUAUGAGGUUCUGUCCCCUUCUUUAUACACGUACAAUGGUAGUGAGACAAUGCAUGACAAAUGGAACAUAUACUUAGGAAGUAAUAUGUACCAAAAGAAAUCUGGGAUACGGAUAAUAUCACGACUCAGGAUAUGACCCAGAUGCAGACGGUACAGUUCUCAGAAUAUUUAUGAUGAAAAAAAGGGCAGGCAAAGGGCAGGCAGGGGUUUGUGAUCAGGUCAGAGUCAGGCAGGUACAGGACGGCAGGCAAGCUCAGGGUCAGAGCAAGAUUAAUAGUCAGAACGGGGGAAAACUAGAAAACAGAACUUGAGCAAAUGGAAGAGGGGAAAGCACACUGGUAAGACCUGACAAAACGAACUGGCAACAGCGAGAGACCGCAGGUAUAAAU